rnacentral:lncRNA from 1 species
AACACAACUAAAGCAGUCAGAGACUUCAGUACAAAAUCUUGAGAAUGAGGUGACACGACUGAAAGAGGAACUUUCAGUUCAGCUGGAAAACAAUUCCACCUUGGACAAGCAGUUGGAAGAAGUCAGGAGCAGUAUGCAUGCUGAAAUUGCAGAACUACGUGCAGAGAAGGACGCAUCUCUAUCGGAGUUACAGACAUCUCAGGCUUCUGUCAUGAACCUCGAGAUUGCACUUCAAACGCAAAAUGAGAACAUUUCAACUCUACAGCAAGCUAACGAUGAGUUGCAGAAGAACAUUUGUACUUUGUCCGAGCAAUUAGAACAAACCAAGGCUGAGCUGCAGCAGGAGGUCAAGGCUACACAAGAAGAGAAGGAUGCAGUGCUAACACAGCUGAAGCAAUCAGAGGAUUCAGUACAAAAUCUUGCGAAAGAGGUGGCACAGCUGAAAGAUGAACUUUCAGUUCAGCUGGAAAACUAUUCCACCUUGGACAAGCAAUUCGAAGAAGUCAGGAGCAGUAUGCAUGCUGAAAUUGCAGAACUACAUGCAGAGAAGGACGCAUCUCUAUUGGAGUUACAGACAUCUCAGGCUUCUGUCAGGAACCUUGAGGUUGCGCUUCAAACGCAAAAUGAGAACAUUUCAACUCUACAGCAAGCUAAUGAUGAGUUGCAGAAGAACAUUCGUACUUUGUCCGAGCAAACAGAACUAGCCAAGGCUGAGCUGCAGCAGGAGGUCAAGGCUACACAAGAAGAGAAGGAUGCAGUACUGACACAGCUGAAGCAAUCAGAGGAUUCAGUACAAAAUCUUGCGAAAGCGGUGGCACGGCUGAAAGAUGAACUUUCAGUUCAGCUGGAAAACUACUCCACCUUGGACAAGCAGUUGGAAGAAGUCAGGAGCAGUAUGCAUGCUGAAAUUGCAGAACUACGUGCAGAGAAGGACACAUCUCUAUUGGAGUUGCAGAUAUCUCAGGCUUCUGUCAGGAACCUUGAGAUUGCGCUUCAAACGCAAAAUGAGAACAUUUCAACUCUACAGCAAGCUAAUGAUGAGUUGCAGAAGAACAUUUGUACUUUUUCCGAGCAAACAGAACAAGCCAAGGCUAAGCUGCAGCAGGAGGUCAAAGCUACACAAGAAGAGAAGGAUGCAGUGCUGACACAGCUGAAGCAAUCAGAGGAUUCAGUACAAAGUCUUGCGAAAGAGGUGGCACGACUGAAAGAUGAACUUUCAGUUCAGCUGGAAAACUAUUCCACCUUGGACAAACAGUUGGAAGAAGUCAGGAGCAGUAUGCAUGCUGAAAUUGCAGAACUACGUGCAGAGAAGGACGCAUCUCUAUUGGAGUUACAGACAUCUCAGGCUUCUGUCAGGAACCUUGAGAUUGCGCUUCAAACGCAAAAUGAGAACAUUUCAACUCUACAGCAAGCUAAUGAUGAGUUGCAGAAGAACAUUUGUACUUUGUCCGAGAAAACAG